rnacentral:rRNA from 1 species
CGCCUUAUACUCCUACGGGAGGCAGCAGUGGGGAAUCUUAGACAAUGGGGGAAACCCUGAUCUAGCCAUGCCGCGUGAGCGAUGAAGGCCUUAGGGUUGUAAGGCUCUUUCAGCUGGGAAGAUAAUGACGGUACCAGCAGAAGAAGCCCCGGCUAACUCCGUGCCAGCAGCCGCGGUAAUACGGAGGGGGCUAGCGUUGUUCGGAAUUACUGGGAGUAAAGCGCACGUAGGCGGACUGGAAAGUUGGGGGUGAAAUCCCGGGGCUCAACCCCGGAACUGCCUUCAAAACUCCCAGUCUGGAGUUCGAGAGAGGUGAGUGGAAUUCCGAGUGUAGAGGUGAAAUUCGUAGAUAUUCGGAGGAACACCAGUGGCGAAGGCGGCUCACUGGCUCGAUACUGACGCUGAGGUGCGAAAGCGUGGGGAGCAAACAGGAUUAGAAACCCCAGUAGUCCACGUACCA